CUUUUACUUUUACUUUGUACUUCAAGUAUUUUUUAAGGAUACUUUCUACUUUUUACUUAAGUACGUUUUGCUUCCAAUACUUUUUACUCUUACUCAAGUCGUUUUAUUGUUAAUUACUUCUAAUUUUACUCGAGUACAAAUUCAAAGUAAUUUAGGCACCACUGGGUGAGGUGAGGUGAGGUGAGGUGAGGUGAGGUGAGGUGAGGUGAGGUAAGGUAAGGUAAGGUAUAGGUGAGGUGAGGUAAGGUAAAGUGGUCAUCAUGAGGUGAGCUGUAGUGAGGUGACAUGCAGUGAGGUGACGUGCAGUGAUCUGUAUUGAGGUGCAAUCUGCGUUCAUGUGAGGAGAGAUGAGGUGAGGUGUGGUGUGGUGUGGUGAGGUGUGGUGUGGUGUGGCGAGGUGCAGUGAUCUGUGUCGAGGUGCAAUAUGUGUUGUGUUGAGGUGUGGUGAGGUGACUGGUGCGGUGUGGUGAGGUGCGGUGUGGUGAGGUGCGGUGUGGUGAGGUGCGAUGAGGUGUGGUGAGGUGAAAGUAGGCUCAGAUAUUUCAAAUGACUCCAUCACAUGACAUGUUUUACCAGAAAGUUUGUGUUGUCGAGCAUCGGUAAUACCAGUUUCCUGAGCCCACUUUUUGAUCAUUAAGGCCAGCGGCCGCACACGUGGAUCCAUAAACGCGUAACACUUGAGCAAAUAAGUGCUUCGAAUCCCGUUUUCUUGAUUGUAACUAAUAUCACCCUCGUAGGAGGAAAUAUGGUCACAGACUUUUAGGAUUGGUACUUUUGCUGAGUAAAUUGACUAAAAAACAGAACGUAGAUAGAUUUAGUAAGCGAGCAGGCUCUGGAGAAAUUGGAAGGUGAACCUGCACGGAC